ACUGAGGACUCGCUCGCCUGUCCAUGCCGCAAUUUCACUGAUCUUCCCUACGUGAUCUAAUAGUCGACAAGGUAGGGAAGAGAAAUGCUCCUCUCUUCGCGGCCAUCAACGAUACAGGGUUCCGCAGCACCAGCUGGUUACCGUUCGAGGGAUAUGCUUCCAGAGGCUGCUCCCGGCUGUUCUGUCUGCAUGAGCAUCGGGUGUUGGACCCGGACUUGAGACAUCGCAACGGUUGUUUCGACUGGAGAACGUGUCGUCGUUUUGCACGGAGGGACCGUAGACGGAAUGAAACUUAUAUGUCACUUCUCGAAACUGGACUUCUCUCGGGGUUCUUGUUUCCUUGCGGACAGCGUUGCUUUCCGCGGAUCCUCUGUUACGUGGAACAGCGCGCGCUUGCGCACGUAGCGCAAAACGUACUCCUCGAGGGUAUCGUGCAGCAGAAGCCCGUCAUCGCAGGGUUCGGCAGUGGCCGGAGACACAGAAGAAGGCAUCGAGCGGAGCGCACUGUACCGGUCCCGUACCGGGCGAUGCGGCGUGCCUUCAACUGACGCAGGAUGGCGCUCGGAGGUCAUGUGAUGGUCGUUUGGGAACAGCUGAACACAGUCAAGGACCGCGGCGCUGAAGGGCGCACUUUUGCUUUAUCUAAAGAAGAUGAAAAUGGCAGGCGAAGCGUAGAUUACAGCUUCCGGCCGUGCAUGUAGUACUUUGACAAGAGCCGGAGGCGGCGAGAUCGGGACUAGGAAGUUGCCUUCAACACACUUCGACUGCUGACGAUUGAUCAGGAAAGACAGUAGAGCCCAGCUCAUUUUAAAGUCGAAGAGAGGAGAGAGGAAAAGGAAGCGGUCACAGAAAAAGCCCGCAAAGGCUGAUGUUGCUCAUAGUGGGAAUAUACCUUAUCGUUAGCAUAUGUACCCGAGUAAGGCAUAUGGAACAGUCCCAUAUUAUUCUGAUAUGAAUGUGGACGUGAUGGCCAGCUACCAAACACAUACCGACGCGGACCUGCUGCGCAGAGCUCGCUUGAUGCCUAUCGUGCUCGAACUUGUGGCUUGCUCGGGCUCGGAUAGGGCCUUCAGAUCCUACGCUACCCAUGGCUAGGUCGCGCCGAGGAACAAGGACAUUUUCAUGAGCGCCCCAGGUGGAGCGAAUAGAUUCUUUCGCCCGGAGACUCAACGAGGAUUUGCAAAGAGUUCUUUCUGUUCUUAAGUUUUAGAGCGCUUACCGGAACCUUGAUUUUACAAACGUAGUAUACCAAGUCAGUGCUACUCAAUGCUCUGUACGGCAUAGUUGCAGCAUGUGGACAGAGACAUGAUGGUGGCGCGUCCACAAGGCGCGACCCGACACCACUUGCGAGGUCAUGGCGAGGCUGUUCCGUGCUGCGCGCCUUCAAACUAGGAACCGCGACCCUGGGGCGACAGACAGCGCGCUUCCAGAUCGUGUUGGUGGAUACUUAGCCUUCUACGCGUGGAAAGAGAAGAGCGGCUUGUUAAAUUACGAGCCCGUGUUCUCUAGGCAGAGCCGACGGAACAGAACUCCGCACAGGAUGCAUCCGCAUGUACACGCAUUUGUUUCCAGGAGACAAACGAGCACUGCUGGAGCUGUUCAAGUGUUCGGUUUUGACACAGAAAGGAAUGCACCACCGGCGAGAAAGCUAAUAGAAGCGGGCUGCUGCUUCCGAUUACUUCGACGUUCCAAGCCCCGCUCGAUGCAACGUCAAAAACCUCCAGCCAGAAUCAUUCGCGCGGAAAACAAUAGUUACAUGCGUAUUCUGUGAUUUCCUGUAUCCUCCGAUUUGGAAUGCGUAUCGUCUGCGACGAGACAUGACCGUAUCGUCUGCGACAGUUUAAGCUGGCCCAGGACGGGUCACAAAUGCAAACCUGUGGCUCUAUCCCAUCAAGUGCCUUCCCUUCGUCACUAUUCAGUCAAUAUAACGCCUCAGGUGCUCAAGACUGUCGGCCUCCGACGCUUCCGCCGCUGCAAAUAUCUCAUCAAGGCUGUCUACUGAAUGGCUUCGCGGCAUGGUCUCUGCGGGCUCUUCUUCCCGAGUCCGCUGCGGUGCAGCGCGAUCAGGAGGCGAGGUCGAAAAAACGUUAGGGGCGGCGCUCCAUUCGGAGGUGCGCGAGCGUGUCGCCUCUAACGCGUGAUACAGAGAAGGAGC